rnacentral:rRNA from 1 species
GACGAACGCUGGCGGCGUGCUUAACACAUGCAAGUCGAGCGGACGGGCGAGACUUUUGUUUCUCUGAUGUUAGCGGCGGACGGGUGAGUAACGCGUGGAUACCCCACCUAUAAGACUGGGAUAUCUUCGAGAAACCGGAGCAAAUCCCGUAUAAUAUUUUGAACCGCAUGGUUCAAAAGUGAAUUACGGUCUUGCUGUCAUUUCUAGCUGUAUCCGCGCUGGUUUAGUUAGUUGGUAAGGUAACGGCUUACCAAGGCGAGGAUGCAUGGCCGAGGUGCGGGGGUGGGCAGCCCCACUGGAACUGAGACCCGGUCCAGGGUCCUACGGGAGGCACCAGGAGGGAAGCGUGCGAGAUGGGCGGAAGCCUGACGAAGCGGCGCCGCGUGAGUGAUGAGGGGCUUCGGAUCGGAAAACUCUGUUAUGGGGGAAGAACAUAUGUGUAAGUAACUGUGCACAUCGUGACGGUACCUAGUCAAAAAGCCACGGCUAACUACGUG